GCUGUUCCUUUGAGAUUGAAAAGAAGAAAAAAAAAAAUUCCUUGUAGCUAACAGAGUUUCUAAAAAUGCAAGUUAGAUGAGAAAGAACAUUUCCUUUAUUCAAAUAAUUACCCAAUGAGAACCUGAUAUAUAUAUAUAUAUAUAUAUUCACCAAAAUUUUGCUUCACUCCAAUUCAACAUAAUUUUGCUGCAUUCCUAUCUAUUAUCUAUAACCUAUAUAAAAAGAACGUAAGAGUGUGUAACGCAUGGUGUAACGUUGGGCUUCUUGGUGUUGCUCUGGUGCUUCUGGUGCUUAUUUGGUUUGUAAAGCAGAUUUGGGCUAGCUACAUGGCCUUCAACUUAGCCACACACACGACCGCAGAACAAAACAAAUUCCACCAUUCCUCCUACAAAUUCCUGAUUCCUUCCUGCACUGAACCUGCGAAGCGGUGGAAAUUGAUUUCUCCUAGAAGAUUCAUUUGUUCGGUGCACCGCUCGGAUAACAAUUGCUAGCAUUCAAGCAAUAUUGCCUCUGCAACUGCCAAAACUUCAGCUAAUUUCUUUACUUGCUCAACUGCUGGAAAGAUUUCUAAUGUGUUGCAAAAGAGAGUCGGUUAGUUAGUGCACAAAGCCAUCUCUAUAUAUGUAUAGAUAUGUGUGUAUACUCUUUGUUCUGUUUCGUUUCUUGUCUUGGUUCAACUUCUUGUUUCUCGGUUCAUAGAUUACUACCCCAAAUCCAUAAUCUGCACUUCUUUGGUGGAGCCAUGGGUGUUUUGACAUCACAGACACUGUUGGGUUCAGCUGGAGUCUCCAAACACAGAGCCACUCUUGGUGCUGUAGCUAUCAAUUGGAUUCUCAAGGAUGGUGCAGGUUGGGUUGGAAAACUGCUUUUUUCUCAGCAAGGGAAAAAAAUUUGAUUAUGAUUUGAAGUAGCUUCGUUUUGCGAGUGAUCUUCUAAUGGAGUUGAGUGCUGGGGUAGAGUUGGCUACUGCAGUUGUGCCACACCUUUUUCUGCCUUUAGCUUGUGCUACCAAUGUGGCCAAGAAUGUUGGUGCUGUCACAUCAACCUCAACUCGCACUCCAAUAUACAAAGCCUUUGCCAAAGGAGAAAACAUUGGGAUGUUACUGCAAAGGGAGAAUGUGUUGGCAAUGUUGCCAAUCUGGUAUGCUUCUCCAACUUCAAUUACAUUUUCCAGAAUCUUGUGUUUGCAUUGGGCCAAUUGAGAACAUAUUUUGAUGGCUGCUAUAGUGACUGUCGACACAAUUAAAUUGAUCUGUGUAUUUUGUACUUCAUUUCCAGUCCUAAUAUUAUUUGGUAUGUUAAAUGGCACCUCAUUGUAUAUGUUACCGCUAUUCGAUAUAAAAAUUAAGACCCCCCCCCCCCCUC